rnacentral:rRNA from 1 species
GACGAACGCUGGCGGCGUGCUUAACACAUGCAAGUCGAACGGAAAGGCCCUGCUUUUGUGGGGUGCUCGAGUGGCGAACGGGUGAGUAACACGUGGGUAACCUGCCCUUGACUUUGGGAUAACUUCAGGAAACUGGGGCUAAUACCGGAUAGGAGCUCCUGCUGCAUGGUGGGGGUUGGAAAGUUUCGGCGGUUGGGGAUGGACUCGCGGCUUAUCAGCUUGUUGGUGGGGUAGUGGCUUACCAAGGCUUUGACGGGUAGCCGGCCUGAGAGGGUGACCGGCCACAUGGGGACGGAGAGACGGCCCAGACGCCGACGGGAGGCAGCAGGGGGGAAUAUGGCACAAGGGGCGGAAGCCGGAGGCAGCAACGCCGCGUGCGGGAGGACGGCCUUCGGGUGGGAAACCGCUUUCGCCUGUGACGAAGCGUGAGGGACGGGAAUGGGGAAAGAAGCACCGGCGAACUACGG